rnacentral:misc_RNA from 1 species
AGCAGCCGCGGUAAUUCCAGCUCCAAUAGCGUAUAUUAAAGUUGUUGCAGUUAAAAAGCUCGUAGUUGAAUUUCGGGAUCAAUACGUCGGUCGUGCUUCGGUACGUACUGGCGUAAUUGAUUUCUCCCUUCUGACGAACCAUGAUGUCAUUAACUUGGUGUCAUGGGGAAUCAGGACUGUUACUUUGAAAAAUUAGAGUGUUUAAAGCAGGCUCACGCUUGAAUACAUUAGCAUGGAAUAAUGAAAUAGGACGUUCGAUCCUAUUUUGUUGGUUUUUAGGAUCAACGUAAUGAUUAAUAGGGAUAGUUGGGGGCAUUAGUAUUCAAUUGUCAGAGGUGAAAUUCUUGGAUUUAUUGAAGACUAACUACUGCGAAAGCAUUUGCCAAGGAUGUUUUCAUUAAUCAAGAACGAAAGUUAGGGGAUCGAAGACGAUCAGAUACCGUCGUAGUCUUAACCAUAAACUAUGCCGACUAGGGAUCGGAUGAUGUUAAUUUUUAAUGACUCAUUCGGCGCCUUAACC